rnacentral:snoRNA from 1 species
CCUGCCCCCGGAGCCCCCCUCCACUGUAGGCAUAGCUACUGGCUCACCUGUGCGUCAGUAGGUGGCAGGGGAGGGACUGUCUUCGAUCAGAGUUCUGACCCAUGAAUAUCUCUGAGUGAUUAGUACCUAAUAUU